CAUCCUCUCCAACCAUUUGCUUCAACGUGGAUGGAACUGGAGGCUAUUAUGCUGAGUGAAGCUAAAGCACAGAAGAGCCAUGUGAAUCCUCCAGGCUUCUCUCUUCCCCUGUAGCAGUGACAGGUUGGAUUGCAGACUUCACUCAAUUUGGAUUCCUGAGAGACCACAUGGAGCAAGCCCCUUGCCAAAUUGUGUUGGAUAUGCAGCCUGUAAAGGAAACAAGCACUUGUUGUGUGAAGCCACUGGCAUUUGGAGGUAAACUCGAUGUACCACCACUAACUGUCAGGAGACAAAAGUUUUGGUGUCAAGAAGAUAAAGAAAUGUAACAAAUGUGUAGAAAGUCUGGAUAUCUUUCUGUCUUAUAAGAGUCAAAUGAUUUCACAAAUUUUGUGUUGCAAAUAAUGUAAUUAAGAUUUUCUGACUUAUGCUAACUUGGAAAGCAGACAUCAACAGAUAUGGUUCCAUUACUUAAAAAACAGAGAACAAAGAUGGACAAUGCUGUUUGGAACUGAGUUUGCUUUUUUGUGCAAGUCUUCUCUACCUUGAAUAGAAAUGUCCAUAAGCUCAAGACCACUAGGUACAGCUUUUGGAAGAACAGAGAUAGAGCAACAACAACAAAAAACAAUUCUACAAUUCAUAAGUGCCACAAAAGACUAAAAACAGACAAAUCAAUCUUGAAAAAGAAAAACAAAACUGGAGAAGUUGUUUUUCCUGAUAUCAAAAUAUAUUACAAAUCUACAAUAAUCAAAACAGUAUGGUACUGAUAUAAAGACAUACUCAUAGAUCAAUAGAACAGUACAGAGAGUCCAGAAAUAAAUGUACACAUAGAUGAUCAUCUGAUCUUCAACAAGUGUGUCAAAAAUACACAAUGGGGAAUAGAGAGCCUCUUUGACAAAUUGAGACAGGGAAACUGAAAGACUCUGUAAAAACCUGUUUUGCUACUUUUCCUGCUUCUAUUCUUGCUAGGACCUGCACCCCACUUUAUACAUGCUUCAGAAUGUAGAUAGAAUAUGUCCUCCUUGUAAGGGAAAAGGAGGUAAUGAUUUCUUUAGAAUAGAUAACAUCUAAGGUAGGACCAGGUGAGAAUGAUCAGACAAAGUGUAUUCCAUACCACCAGAGCUAGACUUCUUGAAGCCAAGACUCCCUGGCUCCAAGGAUUAACACUUGGACCCUUGUUUUUGUUCUAAUCAGUUUCUGGAUGCCUGAGAGGACACAUACACCAGGCCACAAUCCUCAAUAAAAGCAUCCAGACCCUGAACAAAGCCAAGACUUGCUUCUUUCCUUUCUGAGUUUCCCAGACAUUGUACCUGUCUAAAUAAGCUUUCAAU